GGGCAUGUAGCUCAGUGGAUAGAGCACUAGAUUCCGGUUCUAGGGGUCGCAGGUUCGAAUCCUGCCAUGCUCG
rfam:Phormidium tenue NIES-30 NIES-30_Scaffold_7, whole genome shotgun sequence.